AAAUAAGUUAUUAAGGGCGACGGGCGGAUGCCUGGGCGCUGGAAGGCGAUGAAAGACGCGGCGGGCUGCGAAAAGCCCCGGGGAGGAG
rnacentral:rRNA from 1 species